rnacentral:rRNA from 1 species
AGAUGUGAAUCAUCGAAUCUUUAGAACGCACAUUGCGCCCUAUGGUAUUCCAUAGGGCAUGCCUGUUUGAGCGUCAUUUCUCUCUCAAAUCUUCGGAUCUGGUUUUGAGUGAUACUCUUAGUCAGACUAAGCGUUUGCUUGAAAUGUAUUGGCAUGAGUGGUACUAGAUAGUGCUGAACUGUUUCAAUGUAUUAGGUUUAUCCAACUCGUUGACCAGUAUAGUAUUUGUUUAUUACACAGGCUCGGCCUUACAACAACAAACAAAGUUUGACCUCAAAUCAGGUAGGACUACCCGCUGAACUUAAGCUUAUCAAUAAGCGGAGGAAUC